GUGGCCGUUCCGGCCUUUGAUUUUAACUUUUAGGACCACCAUACAUGCCGAUGCCUCCACAAACGGUUGUUGCUGAUCCUGCCGACAAUUUGACGUUAUCCUUGAGCUCGAUAUCCUUUCCAGCUCCAUUUAGUUUAGUUUUGGUUAGAAACCAAAAUUAUGAAAUAAUUCAUCGCAGCAGUGUUUCCUUUGCUCCAGCCGAAGUAAAACUUUCUGCUUUCGGAAGGAUAGUAAAACUUUAUGGUUACAGUUGUCGAUUAAAUAUGCCAAAUAUUACAAGAGAGUGGUUCGGUACCAACAGCAUCAUAGUGUUCAACCGCCUGGGGAAUUAUUCACUUUCUUUCAUUGUGGAAGAGUUUUCGGACAAGGAAAAUUCCAUUGUAAAUACAAUUCUGCUUGUUGUGGCUACCACCUGUGGAUCGAUUCUUGCUGUAGCCACCGUUUUGAUAAUGUUAUUUAUUUAUUUGGAUAUCAGGAAGAAAAGUAACUUAAUUUAAUUAAGCAUACUAUACUUCUAUAAAGUGUAUAUAAUGUAAUCCAAUGUGUUACGGCUUCUAUAAACAGAAAUGCGAUUUCACAUGUUCCUUUUCUUUAUUAGUUUUUAACAUAUUAACGUUUGUUUUAUCUUUAGAAAACAACCGGUAAGUAUAUAAUUAUGUACUAAAUGUAUAGUAAUAUUCGUCAACUUUUUAUUGUAUAUUUCGCAUUAGCAUAUCUAUCUUUUAAACAUCUUUGAAAUACUUUUUGAAAAGUUUACAAGAUAGCGCAGCAGAAGGUAAUCGAAAUCAACAUACCUACGUUCAGACUUUCUCCUUUGAAAGUAAUGGACAAAAUGAAGAUUAUACUUCUCUACGAAAGAAUGAACAUAUGUGAUAUGUAUUGCAAACAUGAGCAUCACCUCUCUCUCUCUCUCUCUCUCUCUCUCUCUCUCUCU